CAUGCAAGUCGAACGAUGACUCUCUAGCUUGCUAGAGAUGAUUAGUGGCGGACGGGUGAGUAACAUUUAGGAAUCUACCUAGUAGUGGGGGAUAGCUCGGGGAAACUCGAAUUAAUACCGCAUACGACCUACGGGUGAAAGGGGGCGCAAGCUCUUGCUAUUAGAUGAGCCUAAAUCAGAUUAGCUAGUUGGUGGGGUAAAGGCCCACCAAGGCGACGAUCUGUAACUGGUCUGAGAGGAUGAUCAGUCACACCGGAACUGAGACACGGUCCGGACUCCUACGGGAGGCAGCAGUGGGGAAUAUUGGACAAUGGGGGCAACCCUGAUCCAGCCAUGCCGCGUGUGUGAAGAAGGCCUUUUGGUUGUAAAGCACUUUAAGCAGGGAGGAGAGGCUAAUGGUUAAUACCCAUUAGAUUAGACGUUACCUGCAGAAUAAGCACCGGCUAA
rnacentral:rRNA from 1 species